rnacentral:rRNA from 1 species
AGUAACGCGUGGAUAACCUGCCGUAUGCAGGGGGAUACCAACUGGAAACAGUUGCUAAUACCGCAUAAGCGCACAGCACCGCAUGGUGCAGUGUGAAAAGAUUUAUCGGCAUACGAUGGAUCCGCGUCCGAUUAGCCAGUUGGCGGGGUAGAAGCCCACCAAAGCGACGAUCGGUAGCCGGCCUGAGAGGGCGGACGGCCACAUUGGGACUGAGACACGGCCCAAACUCCUACGGAAGGCAGCAG